GUCUACUGCCAUGCCACCCUGAACACGCCCGAUCUCGUCUUAUCUCGGAAGCUAAGCAGUGUCAGGCCUGUUUAGUACUUGGAUGGGAGACCACCUAGGAAGAUCAGGUACUGUAGGCA
rnacentral:rRNA from 1 species